rnacentral:rRNA from 1 species
GAUGAACGCUAGCGGCAGGCCUAACACAUGCAAGUCGAGGGGUAGAAUGACUUCGGUUAUUUGAGACCGGCGCACGGGUGCGUAACGCGUAUGCAACCUACCUCUAACUGGGGCAUAGCCCGGGGAAACUCGGAUUAAUACCCCAUAAUAUUGAGAAUUCGCAUGGAUUUUUCAUUAAAGCUCCGGCGGUUAGAGAUGGGCAUGCGUGCCAUUAGCUAGUUGGUGAGGUAACGGCUCACCAAGGCGACGAUGGCUAGGGGUUCUGAGAGGAUGAUCCCCCACACUGGUACUGAGACACGGACCAGACUCCUACGGGAGGCAGCAGUGAGGAAUAUUGGUCAAUGGACGAAAGUCUGAACCAGCCAUGCCGCGUGCAGGACGAAGGCCCUAUGGGUUGUAAACUGCUUUUCUAUGGGGAUAAACCUCCUUACGUGUAGGGAGCUGAAGGUACCAUAGGAAUAAGCACCGGCUAACUCCGUGCCAGCAGCCGCAGUAACAC